rnacentral:rRNA from 1 species
UUCGCAUGAAGCAGUGUGAAAAACUCCGGUGGUACAAGAUGGACCCGCGUCUGAUUAGCUGGUUGGUGAGGUAACGGCCCACCAAGGCGACGAUCAGUAGCCGGCCUGAGAGGGUGAACGGCCACAUUGGGACUGAGACACGGCCCAAACUCCUACGGGAGGCAGCAGUGGGGAAUAUUGCACAAUGGGGGAAACCCUGAUGCAGCAACGCCGCGUGAGUGAAGAAGUAUUUCGGUAUGUAAAGCUCUAUCAGCAGGAAAGAAAAUGACGGUACCUGACUAAGAGGCCCCGGCUAACUACGUGCCAGCAGCCGCGGUAAUACGUAGGGGGCAAGCGUUAUCCGGAUUUACUGGGUGUAAAGGGAGCGUAGACGGUUUUGCAAGUCUGAAGUGAGAGCCCGGGGCUUAACCCCGGGACUGCUUUGGAAACUGUAGGACUAGAGUGCAGGAGAGGUAAGUGGAAUUCCUAGUGUAGCGGUGAAAUGCGUAGAUAUUAGGAGGAACACCAGUGGCGAAGGCGGCUUACUGGACUGUAACUGACGUUGAGGCUCGAAAGCGUGGGGAGCAAACAGGAUUAGAUACCCUGGUAGUCCACGCCGUAAACGAUGAUAACGAGGUGUUGGUGGGUAUGACCCAUCGGUGCCGC